rnacentral:lncRNA from 1 species
CAGGCUUCCUUGGACUCACAGGAUUGCACAAAAGGCUGCCGCCUGCAUGUCCUCAGCUCCUGCACUGCUGCCAGCAGGGGCAUGAAAUCCAGCUCAUCAGAGCCUCCUCCAGUGUUGGCUACCUCCUCGUAGAUAUAAAAUUGCCAGAUAACAUCUGGAAUAUUCAGCCAAAUCCAAAUAUCAGGUCAAAGGGAGCUCAGCAAGGAAUGAGGAACAAUGCUCUGAACUCCAACCGACAUACAGAGAACUGCUUGAUUGCCCAGUGGUCUUCCCAAUCAUUGAUGAGGCUCUCAUAGAAUUCACCACAUUCCUCUUGAGUGAUGUCAUCAGUGUUUCUUGACCAAAUAAACAUAGUCUUAUU